UUGAGCCCUAGGCAAAUCAAUAUGUUAAUAGAAUUAGCCGGCUCCACGGCUAAUCGUGUACGUGGCAGAACCAGUUGCAGUGUCUCCGGAUGGAAAUGGAGGUACGGUGCUCAGCGUGCAGCCAUUUUCCAACUGCACAGCAAUCUCACAGAUUGCUCACAUCUGCACGGGUAUCUGUGUGUCUAAGCCGGAGGACUGCAGCCUAAGCUGAAGCAUUUUGAUAAAUUACCCACUAGUCGAGCAGACAGCAGACAGCAGAUGUCUAGGAAAUGAACAGUGUCUGACAAAGUGAUCUAUAAACAGACAAGCGCAAACAACAACAAAAUGUUCAAACAUCAAACGGAUUUGACUGGAUUCGAGCAUGCCAAGGCAUCAGUAUUGCCCAAUGAUAUUCAUAAUGUGUCCGCUUGAUUGGGUGUAUCUUUAUCUGAUAUACAUAUGCACAAAUGUACGUAGUUUAAGGGUAUUGCCAUUAAAAACCCGCACUCUAUCGAAGUUGGCUCUUUUCUGCUCUAUUCCCGCUCAGGUUUUGGACAAGAUGACAGAUUGAUCAAUUGUGAACGAAACGAUCAAGAAUUUUGAAUGUUCCGUCUCUGGCCUUGGGCCGAGUGGGAAAGGCAACCAAACGCAUGGGGUCUGACUUCAAUUCGGCUCGAAUUUGCCAAAUUACAAAUAAUUAUUAAAGAACUAAAUUUUGAAUAGUUUAUAAGAGCAGUUUGUUGCAAAACAUGAAGAUGACUCAUUGUGGAAGCCAGGCGGCUUCUUUGGAUCAAAUCAAUGGCACUGAAGUUGGAAUGCAAUAAAAAAAAAAUUCAAAUUCGAUUAAUACAAUACACCCAAACUUGCAAACUAAUCAUUUUAAACAUUUGUUGUGCCCUGUCCCGGCGAGGGAAUCUCAACGCGACUUUUUCCGAGACUGUGUCCGUACUGUGCCCAGACUUUGCUACACAAAGCCAUCAACGUCACAGAAGAUGGCCUCGGAAAGACACCAAAGACAGAGCUCCCAGACUAACGCCAGACAGACCGAUGCUCAUACGUAGAGUGUCUUCUAUCCAGAGAGGCAGCGGGAAAGUCGAUGGACCAUGGAUAACCUGGCACAUCUUUGAUUACGAUUGCACAAUUAAAGUGACAACUGCGGUCCGACUCCACCACAAGCAUGAGACGUUAACCAGAAGAAAAUCUGAAAAAUUUCGUAGAAACAGUUUCAAAACUGAUCAGGAAAAGCUAACGCUGUUAACAGGCCGGAUUUUACAAACUUCUGAGCCAUUUUUAAAUGGAGUAACCACAGCAAGGGUAGGCAAAAAUGAAAAAAAAAAAAAUAUUUGUCAAAUAAUCCGAUUUGAAAGCAAAAGGAAAAACACGUAGCAGAGACUCUGUCAGUAGGACCUAAAAUGUAACCAACCCAUGGCUGGCACCCAACCGGGACCGGUUUGCCUUUCCCCCAAAUAAAAAAUUACAUAGAAAAAACAUAAAAUUAAAAAUAAAAUAAAGUCUGUGCGACAGUUUUGCAAUAGC